ensembl:lncRNA
GCAGGACAUUGCGUGUUAUCGUGUGAUGUCAUCGCCUGACGUCAUCGCAUGAUGUCAUCGCGGGACAUUGUGUGUUAGAGUGUGACGUCAUCGCCUGACGUCAUCGCGGGAUGACAUCAUGGGUUAGAGUGUGAUGUCAUCGCGGGGCAUCGUGUGUUAGAGUGUGACGUCAUCGCAUGACGUCAUCGCGUGACAUUGCGUGUUAUCGUGUGAUGUCAUCGCCUGACGUCAUCGCGGGACGACAUUGGGGGUUAGAGUGUGACGUCAUCGCGGGACAUCGUGUGUUAGAGUGUGAUGUCAUCGCCAGACGUCAUCGCGGGACGACAUCGCGGGUUAGAGUGUGACGUCAUCACGUGAUAUUGUGUGUUAGAGUGUGACGUCAUCGCGGGACGUCAUCGCGGGACGUCAUCACCUGACGUCAUCGCGGGUUAGAGCGUGACGUCAUCGCGGGACGUCAUCACGGGGCAUCGUGUGGUAGAGUGUGACGUCAUCGCGUGACAUCAUCGCCUGACGUCAUCGCGUGACGUCAUCGCGGGACGACAUUGCGGGUUAGAGUGUGACGUCAUCGCGGGACAUCACGUGUUAGAGUGUGACGUCAUCGCCUGACGUCAUCGCGUGACAUUGUGUGACGUCAUCAUGGGACGUCAUCGCAGGAUGACAUCGCGUGUUAGAGUGUGACGUCAUCGCGGGACAUGGUGUGUUAGAGUGCGACAUCAGGUAUGUGAUGUCAUCGCGUGACAUUGCGUGUUAGAGUGUGACAUCAUCACGGGGCAUCAUCGCAGGAUGACAUCGCGUGUUAGAGUGUGACGUCAUCACGUGACGUCAUCGCCUGACGUCAUCGCGGGACGUCAUCGUGGGUUAGAGCGUGACGUCAUCGCGGGACAUCGCGUGUUAGAGUGUGACGUCAUCGCCUGACGUCAUCGCGUGACAUUGUGUGACGUCAUCAUGGGACGUCAUCGCAGGACGACAUCGCGUGUUAGAGUGUGACGUCAUCACGUGAUAUCGUGUGUUAGAGUGUGACGUCAUCGCGUGACGUCAUCGCGGGACGUCAUCGCGGGACGACAUUGCGGGUUAGAGUGUGACGUCAUCGCCUGACGUCAUCGGGGGUUAGAGUGUGACGUCAUCGCGGGGCAUCGUGUGUUAGAGUGUGACGUCAUCGC